GUAGUGUGUAGAUUGCGGAGGAUUUUAAUUGUUUUAACCCAUUUUUAAUAAGGUUUUAACUUAACAAAAUGUGAAAAAAGUGAAGGGGUCUGAAUACUUUCCCAAAGGCAGGCAACAGUUUUCCCAGGCCUCCACUGAAGAUCUCACCUUACUCAGGGUUAGGUUCGGGAGGGGCGCAGUGCACAAUAGUCUGCUCUCCCACUUCAACCAGGACAGUGUCUGACGUUGAAGAGGAUUAAAAGAGAGAAUGGACCAAGCUACAGACAAGGAGAGAGAUAAUAUAGGAGUAGGGCUAAAUUGCACGGUUCUGUGCCCCUCUGCCUCAUGUGGAAUCCUGUGCGAAUUUCAGCCCAACAGUGACUGCCAGAGCAGCAGUUGGAUAAAGGGCUUAACUUUCUCUGUGUGUUUGUCUCUGUGUGUGUGAGCUGAGUAGAGUGGGGUGCAAAGAGUGUGUGUGUGUGUGUGUGAGAGAGAGUAAUGUAGAGCAGACAAAAGCAGGGUGCAAAGAGGAUGGGGUGCACAGGAGAUGGGAUACUGCCAGGGGUCAGCUGAUUUCAGGGAAACACAAUCCAUCAAUCAGAUGUUAAACACACACACGCUGCUCUAAUCUGCCAAGUCAUGCUCACACAGCCCACAGAGUGGAGUGCAAAUGCAGAGGUUAAAUGUUGAUCCACUCACACAUUCUAGAGAGCUUGUGAUUGCCUUGCUGAAAUGGUUUGCUACAACAAAACAAGUUAGCUGUGAAAUCAUUAUUACACAAUAUAACUUGGCCUUAAAAAACAACA